GAGGCGUGUAACAGCAGAGCUACUACUCCACUGUCAUUUCGCAAAAGCAAAGCCUCCGCCCGCCGCCGCCGCUGCCGAGCGCCAGGCCGUCCACGCGCCUGCGGCCUGCCGUUUCUCGGCUCCGAGCGCCAGGCCGCCAGAGCUUCUCCGGCCGUUACUCUUGGCCGAUCGACGACCGCAUAAAUUAAAGCCCCGGCCCCCCCUCCUCCGGCGACGAUGCCUUCCGGCACGGACCCGCUGCUCGCCCGCGCCGACGGCAUGGCGGACGCGGCCGUCGACCACCGCGGUCGCCCCGCCGACCGCGGCUCCACCGGCGGCUGGAGGUCGGCGCUCUUCAUCAUAGCGGUGGAGAUCGCGGAGCGGUUCGCGUUCUACGGCGUAUCGUCGAACCUGAUCAGCUACCUGACCGGGCCGCUCGGGGAGGGCACCGCGGGGGCGGCGGCUGCCAUCAACGCGUGGAACGGCGUGGCGCAGCUGCUGCCGCUGCUGGGCGGGGCCCUCGCCGACAAGUGGCUCGGCCGCUACCGCACCAUCGUCAUGGCCUCGCUCCUCUACGUCCUCGGUCUCGGCAUGCUGGCCUUCUCGACUUUGCUCUCCUCCGGCGGCCACCGCCAAUGCACCACAACCGCCGGCGGGCAGGCCUGCGCACCGUCCACCCUCCAGGUGGCCUUCUUCUACGCCUCCCUCUACAUCGUGGCCGUGGCGCAGGGCGGGCACAAGCCGUGCGUGCAGGCGUUCGGCGCCGACCAGUUCGACCAGAGCGACCCCAACGAGUCCGUCUCCCGGAGCUCCUUCUUCAACUGGUGGUACUUCGGCAUGUGCGGCGGCACCGCCGUCACGCUCGUGCUCCUCAGCUACGUCCAGGACAACAUCGGGUGGGGGCUCGGCUUCGGCAUCCCCUGCGCCGUCAUGGCCGCCGCGCUCGCCGUGUUCCUGCUCGGCACGCGGACGUACCGCUACUACGUAACCAGCGCCAAGGGGGCCCUGUUCUCUCGCGCCGCCGAGGCUUUUGCCGAGUGGCGGAGCAGGCGGAAGGCGGGGCCUCUGGAGCAGGAGGCUUCGCAAGAACGCGGUCGAGCUGCAGGAGAGGCGCCGGGGUUCAGUGCCGGUGUCGAUGAGGAGGAUCAGGCUGUCGUGAGCAAUCCAGGCUUCGUGAAGGAGGCCAAGGCCGUCCUCCGUCUCUUCCCGAUAUGGGCAACGUGCCUGAUCUACGCCGUAGCGUUCGCGCAGUCGUCGACGUUCUUCACGAAGCAGGCGGGGACCCUGGACCGGCGCAUCGGCGAUCGUUUCAAGGUGCCGCCGGCCGCGCUGCAGAGCUUCAUCAGCAUCACCAUCGUGGUCUUCAUCCCGAUCUACGACCGCGUCGUCGUGCCGGUGUCGCGCCGGUACUCCGGCAAGCCGUCCGGGAUCACCAUGCUGCAGCGCAUCGGUGUGGGGAUGCUCCUCUCCCUCCUGUCCAUGGUGAUCGCGGCGCUCGUCGAGACGCACCGGCUCCGCGUCGCGCGGGACGCCGGCCUCGUCGACAAGCCCAACGUCCCGCUGCCGAUGAGCCUUUGGUGGAUGGUGCCGCAGUACGUGCUCUUCGGCGCCGCGGACGUGUUCACCAUGGUCGGGCUGCAGGAGUUCUUCUACGACCAGGUGCCGGACAAGCUGCGCAGCCUCGGGCUCGCGCUCUACCUCAGUAUCUUCGGCGUCGGGAGCUUCAUCAGCAGCGCUCUCGUGUCGGUCAUCGACAGGGUGACGACGGCCAGGGGCCAGAGCUGGUUCUCCAACAACCUGAACCGCGGCCACGUCGACUACUUCUACUGGCUGCUCGCGGCACUCAGCGCCGUCGAGCUCCUCGCCUAUGUCUUCUUCGCGGUGAUCUACAAGUACAAGAACAAAGGAGCCGUGUGAAAGGAUUAGGAGGUGAAUAAGUCUUCUACAAAUUUUCUUGAGGAAAUUAAAAUCUACACAUAAAUCUAAUCAUCCCAUAUACCUAAAAACUUUAGAAAGUGUGACUACUAUAGUCGAUCCCAUCCCAUAUAUCUAAUCAUCGUUCCAAGUUUUCCAA